GCUUCGGGGAACCUAUUUCUCGUUCCAAUUAUGGCCUGAUUCCCAACUUAUAGCACGCCGCCGGCCUCCUCCGUCAAACCCUCCAAACAGCCGAGGCACCAGCCGCCGCUCCAGCCACCUCCGAGCAUCCUCUACCAGUCUCUCCUCACCAUCGAUCUUCCUCCGUCGCUCCCGAGCGUGUUAUCGUCGACUCCCACCGCCGAUUUUUAGGUUUGAGCACCCAUAGCUUAUUUCAUUAUGGCAAGUGAAGACUCUAAAGACUUGCUGAAGAAUGUGGAUUGGAAGACAGUGGGCAAUGCUGUCAAUAGUGAUUCACUUGGACCAGUCACUAAAAAGCGGCUUCCUAAGAAAAUUAGAGAAGUCCCUGACUAUUAUUUUCUUCCACGAAGGUCAUUACCUUCUUCUAUUGCAAUUUUUGGAGCUAUCUGUGCAGCUGGAGUUGGAGCAGGAAUGCUGCUGGAGGUUUGGAUUAACAAAAAGAUUAAAGAGGAUGGUGGAGUCCUUUGGGAGAGGGACAAAUUCUGAAAGCAAUUACUCAGAUAUACAAAGGAAAGCAGUUAUAUCAUCGAUCGUAGCAGGAAAGAUUACCAGCAUUACAAUGAGCAAUUAGCUCUCAAGCUUUCCUGUCCGGUUGCAGCAGAAUCCCUACAUGCAUGGGUAAGCCGUCUUGUCUUU